GAUUUUUCUUUCUCCCCCAGCAGAGCAGUGCUCGCAGAAUGUUUACAGCUGAGGAGGGUCCAGGGAGGAUUGCUGAAGGACCCGAAGUCCAUCCAUCUCUUCAGAUAGUUUACAUUACAUCUCAAGUUCAAGCACUUAAUUUUAUAUCUAAAAUCUACCUACCAACCAUCAUCUUUCCAUGAGGCAGAAUAAGGGAGUUUCAUGAGUAAUGAGAAGCUGGUCCAUCAUUGAGUUCCUGACUGUGGCCGGAGUCUGUCCCACAAAAGGACGGAGCACCCUGAAGAUGCAGAAUGUACCGCUUACUCAACCAGUCCUCCUAGCUGCCUCCUUUGGAAGGCUGUGGUGUCCUUAUCACCAAAGCACUGGAGAGAGGAUGUCCCGCUAACAGCUGUGUGCAUGUUUGAGAACAUCCUAGCACUCUGCAUUAUUUAACUUGCCAGUUUCUUGAGAACCUGAAAGCCCGGAGGGAGAAGGAAUAUCUUAAUCAAUUUCACACCCACUGUAUCUGACACAUAGACAGUGAAUAAUAUCCCAUAAGAUUUUCAGGUAAAAUUCAAGUAAAAGUCAUAUAACGUGAAAUUUUCCACUUAAUGAUUUGUUGGCGUUUG
rnacentral:lncRNA from 1 species